rnacentral:lncRNA from 1 species
CAGUCCUGAUCUGAACACCACGAUGCAGGGGCAGUGCACAUUUCAGUCUGAUGACAACAUUCUCCUGAUUUCACAACACAGGAGGGCUUCGUGGCAUAAAGAGUGAACUCAAAAUGCCUCAACACAGCUUUCAAGACCUGUUGAAAGAUCUUGAAAAGGCAGCUGUUUCUCAAACUAUGGGUUUGUGUGCCCCCUGCGUCAGAAUCACUGAGCUGUUUGAAAAAAAGGUAAAUCCUGUCCUUUGGGCCAGAAAGGCUGAAUCCGGACCUCAGAAGAUAGAACCCUGAAGAUGCCUUUUUAUGAAGUAUUCCAGAUUAUGAAUUCAUUUGGGACAAGAUCGGUGGGUUCAUCUUGGUUUUGCCGUGCGCCCAGGUGUUCUGCACUGUGCUUUCAGGUGGGCCUCACCCAAUCCGUUGAAGAUCUUAGGAGAAAAGACUGCAGUCCCUCAAUGAGGAAGGAAUUCUGCCUCCAGACUACCUUUGGACUGGAGACUGCAACAUUAAUUCUUGCUGGAAUUCCAAUCUGCCUCCCUGAAGAUUUUAGACUUGCCAAACUCCACAGUCUCACAAGUCAAUUCUUUAAAAGAAAUCUCUUUAUAUAUAUUUCUCUCUGUGUGUGCCCGAUUAUUUCUGUUUCUCUGGGGAACCCUGACUAACAUACCUCUUUUUUCCUUGAUCUCCUUUCUUGGCAUCACCCUGGGGCAGAGGAG